AUUGAACGCUGGCGGCAGGCCUAACACAUGCAAGUCGAGCGAGCGGCGGACGGGUGAGUAAUGUCUGGGAAACUGCCUGAUGGAGGGGGAUAACUACUGGAAACUGUAGCUAAUACCGCAUACCAUCAGAUGUGCCCAGAGGGGAUUAGAUAGGAGGUGGGGUAACGGCUCACCUAGGCGACGAUCCCUAGCUGGUCUGCGAGGAUGACCAUCAACACUGGAACUGAGACACGGGCCAGACUCCUACGGGAGGCAGCAGUGGGGAAUAUUGCACAAUGGGCGCAAGCCUGAUGCAGCCAUGCCGCGUGUAUGAAGAAGGCCUUCGGGUUGUAAAGUACUUUCAGCGGGGAGGCGUUACCCGCAGAAGAAGCACCGGCUAACUCCGUGCCAGCAGCCGCGGUAAUUC
rnacentral:rRNA from 1 species